CCUGAUGGCUCAGGUUAAAGCGUCUGCCUCCAAUGCGGGAGACCCAGGUUCAAUCCCUGGGUCAGGA
rnacentral:tRNA from 1 species